rfam:Klebsormidium nitens DNA, contig: KFL_944.
GGGGACUUAGCACAAUGGCAGUGCAUCCGACUCCAGAUCGGAAGGUUAGGCGUUCGAGUCGCCUAGUCCUCA